UCGGGGGUCGUCUAAUGGCAGGACAGCGGGUUUUGGUCCCGUCAAUAGGGGUUCGACUCCUCUCCCCUGAG
rnacentral:tRNA from 2 species